GCCUGAGUGGCUCAGUUGGUUGAGCAUCUGAUUUCAGCUCAGGUCAUGAUCUUGUGGUUUGUGAGUUCAAGCCCUGUAUCAGGCU
rnacentral:tRNA from 1 species